GGGCACAUGGUGUAGUUGGUUAUCACAUCCGCUUAGCAGGAUCUUCCCUGAAGAGCUGCGAUCUGCGGGGGGUGCUGGGUUCAAUUCCCAGUGUGUCCA